UACGUAGGGUGCGAGCGUUAAUCGGAAUUACUGGGCGUAAAGCGUGCGCAGGCGGUUUUGUAAGCCAGAUGUGAAAUCCCCGGGCUUAACCUGGGAAUGGCAUUUGGGACUGCAAGGCUGGAGUUUGGCAGAGGAGACUGGAAUUCCUGGUGUAGCAGUGAAAUGCGUAGAUAUCAGGAGGAACACCGGUGGCGAAGGCGGGUCUCUGGGCCGAUGACUGACGCUGAGGAGCGAAAGCGUGGGGAGCGAACAGG
rnacentral:rRNA from 1 species